AUUGAACGCUGGCGGCAUGCUUUACACAUGCAAGUCGAACGGUAACAGGUUAAGCUGACGAGUGGCGAACGGGUGAGUAAUGCAUCGGAACGUGCCCGAUCGUGGGGGAUAACGCAGCGAAAGCUGCGCUAAUACCGCAUACGAUCUGAGGAUGAAAGCGGGGGACCGUAAGGCCUCGCGCGAUCGGAGCGGCCGAUGUCAGAUUAGGUAGUUGGUGGGGUAAAGGCCCACCAAGCCGACGAUCUGUAGCUGGUCUGAGAGGACGACCAGCCAAACUGGGACGGAGACACGGCCAAGACUCCUACGGGAGGCAGCAGUGGGGAAUUUUGGAAAAUGGGCGAAAGCCUGAUCCAGCAAUGCCGCGUGCAGGAAGAAGGCCUUCGGGUUGUAAACUGCUUUUGUACGGAGCGAAAAGGUCCUUUCUAAUACAAGGGGCUCAUGACGGUACCGUAAGAAUAAGCACCGGCUAACUACGUGCCAGCAGCCGCCGUAAGAC
rnacentral:rRNA from 1 species